AAAAUAGCAAUUACCGAGUAAUGGUUCUGUUGUAAGAAAAAAUAUAUGACGAUCACCUAUCCAGGAAAUGUGGGUCAGAUACAGCAUCCGAAUCAUCAGUGGUUAUGUGCAAUUCCGCGAAAGAUUAAGUCAUGUAGGGUAAAUAGUUUCUUGAAACUGGAACUCCUACAAAAUUAACUACAAACAUUUUUAACCUGCCAGAUCACUGAUCGAUAAAAUACGGAUCAAAGGGAGACAGCUUCAGAAUCCUGAAUGUGAAUUAUAUAGGGUAACAGUUUCUUGGAAACGAUUGAUCUAAACAUCUUGAACCAGCUGUCAACAGAUGCAGAAACAGUGUCGAUGACUGGGGUGCCCGUCCUCAAACAGACCAAACGAGGACCUCUACUGAUUGUUGGGAAUGUGUAAACUGGUUAUACCGUGUGUUGUUACAGAUAUUCGGCCGGGUUGUGACUGCGAGUGAUCGGUCUUCAAUGCUUCUAUAACAGGACAGCGUCUACAGCCCUGAUAAUGGAGUUGGAGCAGAAAUGCAAAGAAUGACUAAACGCUGUUAGGGAUAACAUUAAAAACUGUAACAAUGUAAUUUGUUUAAUAUUAGGUUACCAAAUUCUAUAAAGUUAAUAAAAUUGAAUCUUGGUAAAAGUAGAAAGCGCACGUCUAAAUUUAAAUUUUCAAGCUGCAUCAUGUACAGUUGAUGCCUCAUAGAAGAGUGUAAUUUUCUCAUUGGUGACAUAAAAUUACAUAUGGCAAUAGAUGCUUUAUAAUUUAUCACCUAUUGCUCCCCAUGCUCCGAAUAACUGCAAUAUAGCGGAACUAUCGCCGGUGUGGCGUAAACAACACGCAAUUAUGUUAUGAUAGUAACUGAUGAGUGAUAAGUAUUCCAAAAAUAUACAUUUAUCACAUU